GCAGUCGAACGGAAAUUAUUUUGUCGCAAGAUAAAGUGAAAUCAGUGGCGGACGGGUGAGUAAUAGCAGGGAACGUACCUUUUACUGUGGCAUAGCUCGUCGAAAGACGGGGUAAUAUCGCAUAAUAUCGCAAGAUCAAAGACGCAAGUCGGUAAAAGAGCGGCCCUGUUCCCAUCAGCUAGUUGGUAAGGUAAUGGCUUACCAAGGCUACGACGGGUAGGGGGUGUGAGAGCACGACCCCCCACAAUGGCACUGAGACACGGGCCAUACAUCUACGGAUGGCAGCAACUGGGAAUAUUCGGCAAUGGGCGAAAGCCUGACCGAGCGACGCCGCGUGAGGGAUGAAGUAUUUCGGUAUGUAAACCUCUUUUGCCAGCCCGUCGAGGGUUGGCGAAUAAGCACCUACUAACUACGUGCCAGCAGUCGCGGUAAUACGUAGGGUGCAAGCGUUAUCCGGAUUUACUGGGCGUAAAGAGUCGUGUAGGCGGUUUGUCGCAUCGUACUUGAAAGCCCGAGGCUUAACCUCGGCGUUGGGUACGAGAUGGACAGACUAGAGGGUGGGAGAGGGAAAGGGAACUCAUGGUGGAGCAGUGAAAUGCGUUGAGAUCAUGAGGAACACCAAAGGCGAAGGCACUUUCCUGGCCUACUCCUGACGCUGAGACACGAAAGCCAGGGGAGAGAAGCAGAUUAGAUACCUGCGUAUUCCUGGCCCUAAACGCAUGCCUGCUAGUUGCCCCAACUUUAAGCGCGGAAAGCAAUUUCUGCAUUUAAAGUUGGGGUGACGUAAGCUAACGCGUUAAGCAG
rnacentral:rRNA from 1 species